rnacentral:tRNA from 1 species
GGGAUUUUAGUUUAAAUUAAAAAUAUGAAUUUUGCGUAUUCUAGAUGAAAGUUCUACAAAUUUUG